CUUAGUUUUACAUAAUUUGAUACAUGUUUUCUAUAUAUAUGUUUUCCUUCCAGGUAAGCCAGGAGCAGGUGGCAUGAAAAAAUAUUGGCCUAUGCAAAUGACACAAAAUAGUGUGGCAGGGAGCAUUAUAUUGUUAAAAGAGGUCAGUGCCAUUAGGGAAUACCACUGCCAUGAAGAGAAGUACUUGGUCUGCAACAAUGUUUAGGUAGGUGGUACAUGUAAGUAACAUCCACAUGGGUGCUAGUACCCAAAGUUGCCCAGCAGAACACUGCCCAGAGCCUGCCUGCCUUCUUGACAUAGUGCAUCCUGAUGCCAUCUCUUCCACAGGUAAUCGACACACAUGCACAUCCACCCAUGCACAUCACUGAGCCUUGGGUGCCCAUGACCCUGUCAGCGGUUCUCCGGUUGUCCUUCCUUGGACCACUUUUGGCCCCAAGCACCAGGAUGAAAAAACACAGAUCCCCUCUCACUCUGUAACUUUAUUGGACGUUAUGUGCACAGCAAAAAGACUUGAGCCGCAAGGCACGAAGAGCUCGUCGCAGAGAUAAUCAAAGAAAGGGAAGAGUAGAAAGACAGAAAAGACUAGAAAGUGGAGAAACUGGAUCGUGUUCACAACAAACCAAAAAGUGAAAUGAUUGGACUAAGAAUGGCUAACAUGGUAGCUCUGAGACAUACUCAGAGCAGAAUUGAUAAAUGGCAUAGAAAUAUUGAUGUUAUUUUAUGUAAAAAAGGCUGAGAAAAUUAAUCAAGAUAGAAUAAGAGCUUUAUGUGAUUCUGUGCAAAAUCAAUGCAAAUUUUAUGAGUUUGACAGCUUUGCACAGAAAUAGACAGGAAGUGUCUAUGUGUGUGUGACAGGUCGCGUCUGUGUAUGUGUGUGUGUGUGUGUGUGUGUGUGUGUGUGUGUGUGUGUUAGCCUGACACUUGAGAAGCCACAGUAAUGUGUGUGUACUCACAAAAGGUCAGGCACUUUCAAUACCUAACCGAGAUAGUUAGAUACCUGCUUGUUAUGUUUAAAAUCACAACCAAGUGUAAAAAGCAUAAAAUGUACCUAGGAAAAGGUAUAAAAGUACCUGAGCUGAGGUACAAAAAGUGCCUCUUUUUUAGUAUAAAUAGGAGGUGUAUGACUGUUACAAUUUUGCCAAGAUCAUUUGUGGUGAACUCUUGUGUUAGAUCAUAUACUGUAACUUUGAUACUGAUUUACUCUGUAAUAUUUGAAGUUUAUUGUACUAUUAUUAAAAGGUUAAUAAACCAAACACAAAGAUGGGGGAUUCAUAAAUCUUAGAAACUUUUUUGGACAAUAGUUACUUUAGACAUAAGAAAAGAAGGAGGAAACUAUGAUACGGAUAGACGUAAGGUCGCCCUGCGCCCCAGCGGACUGGAUUCUACUAUCCGAGUGGAUAUCCUUAACUCUAGAAUUCAGAGCCACUACCCUUAGGAAAGUGAGGAUUUGACACGUCCCAAAAUACAUUCACAGGCCUAGACGUCUGCAAAACUGUCCACGAUGUUCUUGAAGCAAUGCUGCACCUCAACCAUAGCCACCUGCAUCUGCACAUGGCAUCAUAAUAUGCAAGUGCCUGUGCUGACACGAGCAUAGCCUUGACAUUGUGGAAUGCCUGUUCUUGGACAUUAACCCAACCCCACUCACGUGCUUUAUUGAGUGAGUCUGUAAUUAGGUUUACCAUAGUGUAAGGCCUGGCAGGAACUUUCUCAAGUAGUUCAAAAGACCAAGUACCUGGCAAAGUUCCUCAGUGUUACCCGGACUUGGUAUCUCUGUGAUGGUAUUCACUUUGCUAGAGACCGGCCUUUUACCACCUGCACUGAUAAUGUGGUCAAAAUAUUGUAUCUUUAAAUUGCCAAAACAGCACUUAGCUCUGUUCAGUUUUAAAGCAAAUGCCGUCAUGGUCCUCAGCACCACCUCUAAGUGCUUGUUUUGCUCUUCCAUGCUUGCACCAUAGACUAGAAUGUCAUCCAUCAGCACAACAACAUUAUCAUGGUCUUUCAGCAGUGUGGAAAUUAGUCUCUGGAAAAUAUCAGGAGCUGACAUAAUUCCAGAUUGAAGAUAUCAAAAGGAAAAUCUUCCAAUGGGUGGGAUAAAUGUGGUUAGUUUCUGGCUAGCUGGAUCUAGCUGAAUUUCCCAAAAUCCACAUGAAGUAUCCAGUGUGGAGAAUACACUGGCACCAGCAAGGCUUAGAGAAAUAUACUCUGGUGUGUGCAGGAUGUACAGUGGUGCGUGAAAGUUUGUGAAUAUUACCUAAAACAAUCAAAUUUUCACACAAGUCCUAAAAAUAAAAAGUAGAAACUAAUUAAACAAAUGAGACAAAAUAUUAUAUUUGAUUAUUUAUUUAUUAAGGAAAAUUAUCCAAUAUUACAUUUGUCACAAGUUCCCCAUGAGCCAGCGCUGUAGCAUGCAGCGUGCUCAAAGCACGAGCUUGUUGUGCGAGCCGAUACACGAGCUCUUAGUGAACGCACGCUUUUGGGUCUUCAGUGACAUUGACUUUGUUUACUUUCGACAAGUGCUUUUGUUAUGGUUUAUGUCCUUUCUCCGCCCCUAUUUUGUCAUUGGUUGUUUCCCCCAUGUGUGUUGCAUCAUUGUUUUCAGCUGUCUUGUGAUUCACCCCGAUUACAUUUGUCAUUUAAACCCCUCGUGUCUCUUUGCACUUCAUGCAGUAUUGAUUAUCACCAUACCAAGCAUUUGUACCUUGUUCCGCUUUUUGAUUCAUGUUCCUUGAUCUAGUUUCUUGUUACUCAUUCUCGUUUCUUGCCUUGCCUAACUGAUGUCUGUUUGUAGAUCGCCUGACCCUUUGCAUGUUUUUUCGAACACACUAUUGUCUCAUGAUUUGGAUUUGUCUGCCUGCCUCUCUUUAUUAAAAACUCUUUUCUGCACUUGCAUCUUUCCUAACCUUCAUUACGAGGAAUACGUGACAGUAUACUACGCCUAACCAUGGAUGCAGCAGGAAGAUGGCGGAGACAUCAUGCCAAGGUAGUUAAGCUUCCUCAAUGGGUAUCCCCGGAUCCCCCAGAGCCAUAUGAUGCAUUUUUUGGCUACCCUGUGUAUUAUUUCUUUGACUAGCAAUUGCCUUUUUAUAGCCUGGCGCACCCCAAGCCUGACCAGAAGCAGUGGCUAGGGUUCAUACUCUCCCAGCUUUUUGGCCAAGCCCACCAUCUGGCCUGUACAGAAUCCAAAGGUCUGCACAAUGUAAUUCAGUUUGUGGGACUAUUAAUAAAGGAGUUUGGGAGUCCAGAGUAUGCCCCCAACCUGGAUGAGUUUUUGGGGAAGGACUGCCUCAUAGAUAAACCUGACUUGCCGUUCACCACCUAUUAUGAGCAAGCAAACUGGGUGACCUCCUCUCCAAAGCUCCUGCCUAAGACCCACUAUGUGGUCUCAGCAGGUGAGCUCCAGCCGGAGGUCAACGUAGCGACCUCCUCCCCUGAGCUCCAACCUGAGACCCAUGAGGUUGUUUCACCUGCCAAGCUCCAGUUGGAGGUCACCAUGGCGACCUCAUCUGCAGAGCCCCAGUUGGUGGUCAACGUGGCAACCUACUCCCCAGAGCUUCAACAUGAGAUCCACAAGGCGGUCUCAUCCCCAGAGCUCCAGCAGGAGACCCACAAGGUGGUCUCAUCCCCAGAGUUCCAGCCUGAGACCCAUGAGGUUGUCUCAUCUCCAGAGCUCCAGCAUAAAGUCAAGUUCCUGUCCGAGGUUGAAGAGACGGCCUCCCGAGCCAAGUUCCCAUCCGAGGUCGACAAGACGGCCUCCCAAGCCAAGUUCCCAUCCAAGUUCGAGAAGGCGGCCUCCCCAGUCAAGUUCCUGCUAAAGGUGGACGAGGUGACCUCCCACUCACGCCCGAGUCUGCCGACACGGACAACCAGGUUCUGCUCACGCCCGAGUCUGCCGACACGGACAACCAGGUUCUGCUCACGCCCGAGCCUGCCGACACGGACAACCAGGUUCUGCUCACGCCCGAGUCUGUUGACACGGACAACCAAGUUCUGCUCACAUCAGAGUCUGCUGACAUAGACAACCAAGUUCAGCCUGCAGAGAUGAUGGAGGAUGACGCUCUGCCUUCCUGCUCCGCUGAGGACGACGCUCUGCCUUCCUGCUCCACUGAGGAUGCCUCUCUGCCUUCCUGCCCAGCUGAGGACGCCGCUCUGCCUUCCUGCCCAGCUGAGGUUGCCGCUCCGCCUUCUUGCUCAGCUGAGGAUGCCGCUCAGAUCCUUGCUCAGCUGAGGACGCUGCUCAGUCUCCUGUUUCAGCUGAAGACAUUUUUCCCAGAGGGCCAGGACUGCCAGCAGAGGGUAGUGUGUUCUAGGGGGGGAGGAUGAGCCAAUACGCGAGCUCUUAGCGAACACAUAUAUUUGGUGACAUUGGCUUUGUUUAAUUUGGACAAGUGCUUUGUUAUGGUUUAUGUAGUGUCUCCACCCCUGUACUGUCAUUGAUUGUCAUCAUUGUUUUCAGCUGUCUUGUGUUUCACCCCUGAUUACGUUUGUCAUUUAAACCCCUCAUGUCUCUUUGCACUUCACGCAGUAUUGAUUGUUAUCACCAUACCAAACGUUUGUACCUUGUUCCGCAUUUUGAUUCAUGUUCAUUGAUCUAGUUUCUUGUUACUCUUUCUUGUUUCUUGCCUUGCCUAAUUUAUGCCUGUCUGUAGAUCACCUGAGCCUUUGCCCGUUUUUUCGACCACUCUAUUGUCUCAUGAUUUGGAUUUGUCUGCCUGCCUUUCUUUAUCAAAUGCUCUUUUCUGCACUUGCAUCGGGCCUAACCUUCAUUACAAGGAACACGUGACAUUAUUUCUGUGAAUUGCAAAAGUAUGUAAACCUCUUGGAUUUUACAGUCAGGUGUUUUCACUCAAUGGGAUGAUAAUCAGGUAUGCGUGAGCACGUUGUUUUAUUUAAAGAACAGAGAUGUAUCAGAGUCUGAUCUUCACAACACAUGCUUGUGAAAAGUGUUUUAUGGCAGGAACAAAAUUUUUCUGAGACCCUCAGAAAUUAGUUGUUGCUCAUCAGGUUGUAAAAGAUUACAAAAUCAUCUCUAAAGAGUUUGGACCAAUCCACAGUCAGACAAGAUAAUGUACAAAUGGAGGAAAUUCAACACCACUGUUACCCUCCCCAGGAGUGGUCGACCAACAAGACGUGUAAAAUCUGCGAGGUCACAAAGGAACCUAGGGUACCUUCUAAGCAGCUAAAGGCCUCUCUCACAUUGGCUUAUGCUAAUGUUCAUGAGUCCACCAUCAGGAGAACACUGAACAACAAUGGCGUGCAUGGCAGGGUUCAACUCAACUCAACCUUUAUUUAUAGAGCACAUUUAUAACAACAGGAGUUGAAUCAAAGUGUCUUACAAUACACAUUUGAAUCACAACACAAUAUGCAUAAUAUACCCUUAUAUAAAUACUAAUAAAUACAUGAUCCUAAAAUAUAUUUCCAUAAUUAAAAUUUAUUCAAAAGCUAAUGAAUAAAAAUAUGUUUUUAAAAAUGCAAAGCUGACCUGAUAUGAAGCAGAAGCUACAAGACCUACAAUAGCUAAUGCACAAUCGCUCAACGAGGAUCUUUCAGCAGAAGUGCUCUAGUAGGAGAAUAAGGGACAAGAAGCUAACAGAGAUACUGAGGCGCGAGACCAGAUAGAGCUUUGUAUACAGUACACAGAGCAGAAUUUUUAAAUCUAUCCUCCAUUUUAUGGGGAGCCAGUGUAGGGACAAGGCAGUUUGAGGCAGUCUGGUAUACAUUGAGUUGCACUAAUCUAACCACGACGGUGAAUCAUAAUUUCUAGAUCUGAUUUAGACAGAAAGUGUUUCAAUUUCAAAAAGUAUCAAUUUUGCAAUUGAUCAUGGAUAGAACAGGCUGCUUGUCACGUAAUGGACGUAAUGGAGGUUAGGACAGAUGCAAGUGCAGUUAACAACGUUCAUUAGAGGGAGAUAGGCAGGCAGACAAAUCCAAAACGGUAAUCCAAUGCAUGGUCCAGAAACAUGCAAAAGGUCAGGCAGACGGGCAUAAACAGGGCAAGGCAAAACACAAAAUGAGAAACAAAGUCAAUAACCAUGAAUCGAGAACGAGAACAAUGAACAACCGCUUGGUAAAGAGAUAAACUCAAUACUACACAAAGUGCUAAGAGACACGAGGGGUUUAAAUGACAAACGUAAUCAUGGGUUACACACAGGACAGCUGAAAACAAUGAUGAAACACAUUUGGGAAACAACCUAUGACAAAACAGGGGCGGAGAAAGUACAUAACCGUAAAAAACGCACGUGUCCAAAGUAAACAAAGUCAAUCUCAUAGAAGACCUAGAAGCUUGCGUUCGCUAAGCGCUCGCGCAACAGGCUCGCGCUUCGGUUUUCCGAGCACGCUGGAAUACUGCAGUGCUGGCUCAUGGGGAAAUCGUGAUACUGCUCUUAACAACAGCACUGAUCUGUCUAUUUAAAAGUAGUGAUGAGUCCAAAAUCAUUCCAAGGGUCCUUGCAUGAUCUUGCAAACUUAACAACUGCGGACCUAGCUGUCAGUUCAAGUAGAGGACUUGGAGGGGCUGAGAAUCAGAACUUCAGUUUUGCUUUUAUUAACUGUAAGAAAUUGUCUGCCAGACAGCACUUAAUAUCAGCAAAGCAAUUUAGGACAUUCUCUAUUGAUGAUUUUUUUUUGUCCAUUGCAUGCUGGAAAAUAAAAUUGAGUUGUCAGCAUAGCAAUGACAAGACAUUCCAUAUCUCUGAAAAAUUUAGGCCAGUGGGCGCAUGUACACAGAGAAUAGUAAGGAUCCUAGAAUCAACCCUUGAGGGACCCCACAUAAAGGAGCCGAUGUAGAGGAGAAGAUUUCUAAGUUAACAGAAAACGUUCUUCUUUUCAAAUAAGAAGCAAAUCACUGAAGGCCAUGCCCUUAAUGCCAACCAUACACUGCAGAUGAUCUAAAAGAAUAUCAUGAUCAACUGUGUCAAACCCGGCACUGAAAUCCAAUAAAACUAAAACAACAUGUAAUCCUGAAUCCAAGGAAAGGAAACUAUCAUUAGUUAUGUUUAACAGUGCAGAUUCAGUACUGUGUAGAAAUCUGAAGCCUGAUUGAAAUUUAUCUAAGAUGCUGAACUUAUUUAGAUAGGAGUAGAGCUGUGUGUAGACAACUCUCUCUAAAAUCUUGUAAAUUAAAGAUUAAAGAGAUCGGUCUAUAAUUAUUGUAAACUGCUGGAUGUAAAGAAUGUUUUGUUAGCAGAGGAUGUACAAUAGCAUGUUUAAGACAGCUUGGAACAACAAUACUUACUAAUGAACUGUUUAUAAUUGCUGUCACUCUGGAACCAUUGGUUGUAAAAAAAACAUCUUUAAAAAAAAUUCGGGGACAAAACAUCCAGUUUGCAACUGGAACACUUCAUCUUCAGAGCUAUAUCAGAUACCUGCACAGUUGAGACCAGUUCAAAGUGAUUCAAUGAACUGCACAGCCUAAAAAUUAGUGGCUGAUGAACAUGUGAAGGUAUAAUUGCACCUUUAAUCCGCUCCACUUUGUGAAUAAAAAAUCUUUUCAAAUCCUCACAGGUCUCUUGUGUGGCGUUCAGAAAAGCAGUACUUGACUUAAACAGAACUUUUGGCCGAUUUGCAUUUUCAGAAAUGAUUUUGCUUUUGCCUUCUUUACUGCACUUCAGUAACACAUUAGGCGCUCUCUUAAAGUGUCAAAUGAAACUUUUCCAUUUUCACUCCAUUUUCCUACACUCCUGUCUAAGGGGGCUUUCUCAUUUACCUUUGUGGUUUUUCUCAUAAAAGUUGCCUGUUUCUCUGUGUUUUCACACAGGUGAACAAAAUAGUCCAUCGGUUUGUUUUGAAGCGACAGGUGUUUCGUUUGGAGAUGGCGUUUAAGCUUGCUUGGCACCAUGGCGCUGUUGGACAGCUUCUCGCCACACACCAAGCAUAAUGGAGUCGGUGUUGUCUCAUCCCCAGUGAAAGUAAAUCAGAACGAAAAAUAGCUUUCGCUGUAUUGCCUCGAGCUCACCAUCUUUGCUUUCUUUUUACCACCACUCAUACUAGGGCCUUCACCUGGAAGUCCCCAAGAAUCAGAAAUCUGUCACCACAAGACACUAAUCCAAAGAGAAAGUCAGAGAAUUGUUGAAUUUGGGAGGUCUGUACAGAAGUGCCCAGUAAAUGGGACUUGAGACGUCAACCUUCAAUUACUGAACCUCAAAGCUUGAGUAUGUAUCCACAGGUAGUGUCCUACAUUUAAAAGAGUCUGUGAAAACAAUAGCCAUUCCACCUCCUCUUUUCGCCCUGAAGUCGGUUGAGAAUUUAAAAAGUCACAGCCUGUUGGUGUUGAAUCUCCCAGAGCCAUUAACUCGACAGGGUUUAACCAGGUCUCUAUAAUAAAUACAAAUUCCAGUGAUCACGACGCAAUAAAUUCAAAUGAAGGACUCGUUGGAUAUCGAUCGAGCAUUUGUAAGGGCCAUCAAUAGUCGAGACAUCCAUUUUGUUCGUCAAAAUAAAAGAGGCAGGUCUCAAAAAACUGGCAUUGUUGGGAUUAAUAGUCUGAUUAAACUUUUUUGCGCAUAUCAAGAGACGAUGACACGAAGACCAAAUAGUCGGACUAUGGUUGUUGUCCAGGAGCCAGCCAAGGAUCUAAUUUGUCGAGAUCCUCGAUGCACAUACUGGGGAUGUGCAAUCCCCAGAGCAGCACAAUGUUUGUAAACUUCCGCAGACAAGUGGCCCGAAGAUUUCAAAGGCCAUAGAUCUGAGGGUAGAUAGUGUAGAACAAGGAAAAAGCUACGGCUCUCCAAAGAACUUUGCUUUCCGUCUGCAGUUUGCUAAAGAUCACAUGAACAAGCCAGGAGGCUACUGGAAAAAUGUUUUAUGGACGGAUGAGACCAAAAUAGAAUUUUUGGUUUACAUGAGAAGUGCUAUGUUUGGAGAAAGGAAAACACUACAUUCCAGCAUAAGAACCUUAUCCCAUCUAUGAAACAUGGUGAUGGUAGUAUCAUGGUUUGUGUCU